rnacentral:rRNA from 1 species
CAUGACGGCCAUAGCUGCGGGGAAACUCCUGGUCUCAUCCCGAACCCAGAAGAUAAGCCCGCACACGUUCCAUGUGGUACUAAAGUGCGCGAGCCUUUGGGAAGCACGGAUCGCUGUCAUGA